rnacentral:sRNA from 1 species
GCUGGGCGUGGCAGCGUACAUCCCUAGUCCUUGCUACACGGGAGGUGGAGACAGGAGAAUUACUUGAGCCCAGGGAUUCAAGGCAACAUAGUGAGACCCCGUCUUAA